AGUGAACGCUGGCGGUAGGCCUAACACAUGCAAGUCGAACGGCAGCACAGUAAGAGCUUGCUCUUACGGGUGGCGAGUGGCGGACGGGUGAGGAAUACAUCGGAAUCUACUUUUUCGUGGGGGAUAACGUAGGGAAACUUACGCUAAUACCGCAUACGACCUACGGGUGAAAGCAGGGGAUCUUCGGACCUUGCGCGAUUGAAUGAGCCGAUGUCGGAUUAGCUAGUUGGCUGGGUAAAGGCCCACCAAGGCGACGAUCCGUAGCUGGUCUGAGAGGAUGAUCAGCCACACUGGAACUGAGACACGGCCCAGACUCCUACGGGAGGCAGCAGUGGGGAAUAUUGGACAAUGGGCGCAAGCCUGAUCCAGCCAUACCGCGUGGGUGAAGAAGGCCUUCGGGUUGUAAAGCCCUUUUGUUGGGAAAGAAAAGCAGCAGGUUAAUACCCCGCUGUUCUGACGGUACCCAAAGAAUAAGCACCGGCUAACUUCGUG
rnacentral:rRNA from 1 species